GUAAGUCAGGUAGUUGACUUCGGGGCUGGGCAUUAAAUUGUCAAGAGAUCAGAAUAUAUGAUUUCUAGUUCUGAGGAAGGUCCGGACACCAUGAAAAGUCGCUUUUCGAAAGAAAAGAUGUCGCGAGGUAUGGCUCUGUUACAGAAACGCCACAGUUUGCUUUGAGUAAUGAAUCCGUGGGAGGAACUUUGAUAAGCAAGAUUUGAUGAAACGAACAUCCCGACUGGUGCAAGGUCUAAGUACCGCAUAGUUGAAUGUCAACACUUUCCGUCUGAUAUCAGGGAAAGACAGAAUCUGGCCUAUUCCUGACUUAC
rnacentral:RNase_P_RNA from 1 species